rnacentral:rRNA from 1 species
UACGUAGGUGGCAAGCGUUGUCCGGAUUUACUGGGCGUAAAGAGCGCGCAGGCGGUCGUCCAAGUCGCGUGUGAAAGCCCCCGGCUCAACUGGGGAGGGUCACGCGAUACUGGUCGACUCGAAGGCAGGAGAGGGUAGUGGAAUUCCUAGUGUAGAGGUGGAAUUCGUAGAUAUUAGGAAGAACACCAGUGGCGAAGGCGACUCACUGGUCCGGUACUGACGCUGAGGUGCGAAAGCGUGGGGAGCAAACAGG